GAUGAACGCUAGCGGCAGGCUUAAUACAUGCAAGUCGAGGGGCAGCAGUCCCGUAGCAAUACGGGAGCUGGCGACCGGCAAACGGGUGCGGAACACGUACGCAACUUUCCUUCAAGUGAGGAAUAGCCCAGGGAAACUUGGAUUAAUACCUCGUAAUAUUAUGAAGUGGCAUCACUUUAUAAUUAUAGCUCCGGUGCUUGAAGAUGGGCGUGCGCCUGAUUAGGUAGUUGGCGGGGUAACGGCCCACCAAGCCUACGAUCAGUAACUGGUGUGAGAGCACGACCAGUCACACGGGC
rnacentral:rRNA from 1 species